rnacentral:tRNA from 2 species
GGGCCCGUAGCGCAGUACGGAUAGCGUGGCAGCCUUCUAAGCUGUAGGUCGUGGGUUCAAAUCCCACCGGGCCCG